GUGAACGCUGGCGGCAGGCCUAACACAUGCAAGUCGAGCGGCAGCACGGGUAGCAAUACCUGGUGGCGAGCGGCGGACGGGUGAGGAAUACAUCGGAAUCUGCCUUGUUGUGGGGGAUAACGUAGGGAAACUUACGCUAAUACCGCAUAAGACCGAGAGGUGAAAGCGGGGGAUCGAAAGACCUCGCGCGACAAGAUGAGCCGAUGUCGGAUUAGCUAGUUGGCGGGGAAAGGCCCACCAAGGCGACGAUCCGUAGCUGGUCUGAGAGGAUGAUCAGCCACACUGGAACUGAGACACGGUCCAGACUCCUACGGGAGGCAGCAGUGGGGAAUAUUGGACAAUGGGCGCAAGCCUGAUCCAGCCAUGCCGCGUGGGUGAAGAAGGCC
rnacentral:rRNA from 1 species